UAGGGAAUCUUCCGCAAUGGACGCAAGUCUGACGGAGCAACGCCGCGUGAGUGAAGAAGGAUUUCGGUUCGUAAAACUCUGUUGUUAGAGAAGAACAGCGCAUAGAGUAACUGUUAUGCGUGUGACGGUAUCUAACCAGAAAGCCACGGCUAACUACGUGCCAGCAGCCGCGGUAAUACGUAGGUGGCAAGCGUUGUCCGGAUUUAUUGGGCGUAAAGCGAGCGCAGGCGGUCAAUUAAGUCUGAUGUGAAAGCCCCCGGCUCAACCGGGGAGGGUCAUUGGAAACGGGUUGACUUGAGUGCAGAAGAGGAGAGUGGAAUUCCAUGUGUAACGGUGAAAUGCGUAGUUAUAUGGAGGAACACCAGUGGCGAAGGCGACUCUCUGGUCUGUAACUGACGCUGAGGCUCGAAAGCGUGGGUAGCAAACAGG
rnacentral:rRNA from 1 species